rnacentral:rRNA from 1 species
GUGCCUAAAUACAUGCAAAGUCGAGCGAGCUUGCCUAUUUGAAAUACUUCGGAAUGGACAUAGAUACAAGCUAGCGGCGGAUGGGGUGAGUAACGCUGGGUAACCCUGCCCUUAAGUCUGGGAUACCAUUUGGAAACAGAUGCUAAUACCGGAUAAAAAGCUACUUUCGCAUGAAAGAAGUUUAAAAAAGGCGGCGUAAGCUGUCGCUAAAGAAUGGACCUGCGAUGCAUUAGCUAGUUGGUAAGGUAACGGCUUACCAAGGCGAUGAUGCAUAGCCGAGUUGAGAGACUGAUCGGCCACAUUGGGACUGAGACACGGCCCAAACUCCUACGGGAGGCAGCAGUAGGGAAUUUUCCACAAUGGACGCAAGUCUGAUGGAGCAACGCCGCGUGAGUGAAGAAGGUUUUCGGAUCGUAAAGCUCUGUUGUUGGUGAAGAAGGAUAGAGGUAGUAACUGGCCUUUAUUUGACGGUAAUCAACCAGAAAGUCACGGCUAACUACGUGCCAGCAGCCGCGGUAAAU